AAAGGGGACGCGGGGAGCUUGGGAGUGACCAGGCUGAGAGUUCCGGUGUUGCCGGAAGACCCUUAUAACUUGAACCGGGUAAUACCGGCGGAGGGAAAAUGAAAGGGUACACGC
rnacentral:ncRNA from 1 species